AUGUGGGGUGGACGAAGAAGGGGAAAGGAGAGAGAAGGCGAGAGAGAGAGGAGGUUUGGGGGUAUACUAUCCAACUAUCAGCAUGCCACUAAGACAAUAGAUUGCCUUAGCCAUAUUCGUUCCCCAAAUAAGCUACCUUCCUUUUUCCGCGCGUUCCCACACCUCGGCUUCCUCUGUUCCCCCCCAAUACCCUCCCCAAAAUCCUCUUGCUUUGCAGCUUCAAGACCGGGAAUUGUGAGGAAGGGGGUGCAAUGGCCAAAAAUAAGUGAAUUCCUUACGGAUUGCCCUAAACAGACGAUUUUAUUUGCCUCCUACCGAACCAACAAAUGUUUUCGGAGAUGCUUCACAAACACACGGAGGCAGAACAACCAACGGCACAACACACAAAACAAGGAGAGCAGCCGAGACUAUCCUAACGUCACCACAGCAGCCUUGCAGAUUUGGCAAAGGAAGGAAGGGAGCAGAAUCUGGUAAGUGAGAUAUUUAAGGAGUGUUUUUUUUUACCAGCUCCAUACCCCACUGGGAGUUUCCAUGGCUGAGCAACGAUUUGCACUGAAGCCCCUUGAGUCCCAGUCCAUCACUCUAUCCACCACACCACACUGGGUAUCUAGUUAGCUCAUACUGGGCUGCUGAGUCCUGGACCACUAAACAUCCCAUGUGAACGUGUGACACAGAAGACACAUCCUGCAAGUCUGCCCGAAUCCCAAUUAUGUAAGCAGGAAAGUCUAAACUCCGCAGGCUGUGCAAAAUCUGGCCAAGUUCAGUGUAUUCCCCGACGUAGACCUGCAUGUAAUUCACGUUGAAGCGUAAUAGGAGUGCAAAUGAGAGAUACGUAGCAAGAAUGAGUAAGUGGGGGGGGGGGUUGUCCUUUGGUUUCAGUCAUCAUUGUCCACAAACUUUUAUAUUUGAAGGAGGAGAACCUUGAAAGAAUGAAAGAAAGAAUGAAAGAAAGAUAGUGGGGGGGGGUGUUGUCCUUUGGUUUCAGUCAUCAUUGUACACAAACUUUUAUAUUUUUAAAGGAGGCGAACCUUGAAAGAAUGAAAGAAAGAAAGAAAGAAAGAAAGAAAGAAAGAAAGAAAGAAAGAAAGAAAGAAAGAAAGAAAGAAAGAAGUUUAACUCCUAUGACUCUCUAAUGCUCCAAGGGAAAUUAUGUCACUACCAGCACCUCCAGGCUGAAAACAAGCCAGCCCCUAACCAAGGUGUUUUUACGAAUUUCGAUUCUGAAGCACUGGAAUGAGACGUAUCCCUGCCUUGCCUCCUUCCAUCCUGUCCGGCGCCCAUCUGAAUGCCUCCAGCCCCCACCCAACCCUGCUGCUCCUUAUUUGUCCAUAAUGGUUGAGAAAACCUAAACAAUAUGCUAUUGAAACAACUAGGCCGUAACUAUUUCAUGCCGCUGAGCCAGAUCCUCUCCCCCCCCCCCGUUGUGAAUCAUUCCUUAACUCCCUGGAGUCUCCAAUUAUACCAGGAGCCGGGGGGGGGGGGGAGAAAUGGAGUCUGGCAACCCGGUUCGGCCUUCCUCGGAGGCAAGAAAAAGGACUUUUCCCAUGCAACCAUUCUGAAAGCCAACCCUCUGCCAGUCAGAGUUUCCUUUUCAAGAAAGAAAAAUCACAUUAAGUUAAGCUAAGAACACCUAUGGAGUGCUCAUCUGUGGCAAACACACAACUUUCCUAAAUAAAUGAAGCCGACAGACACA
ensembl:lncRNA